AAUGCAUAAGCGCUAUAAUGCAGUCGAACGCACAGCGAAAGGUGCUUGCACCUUUCAAGUGAGUGGCGAACGGGUGAGUAACACGUGGACAACCUGCCUCAAGGCUGGGGAUAACAUUUGGAAACAGAUGCUAAUACCGAAUAAAACUUAGUGUCGCAUGACACAAAGUUAAAAGGCGCUUCGGCGUCACCUAGAGAUGGAUCCGCGGUGCAUUAGUUAGUUGGUGGGGUAAAGGCCUACCAAGACAAUGAUGCAUAGCCGAGUUGAGAGACUGAUCGGCCACAUUGGGACUGAGACACGGCCCAAACUCCUACGGGAGGCUGCAGUAGGGAAUCUUCCACAAUGGGCGAAAGCCUGAUGGAGCAACGCCGCGUGUGUGAUGAAGGCUUUCGGGUCGUAAAGCACUGUUGUAUGGGAAGAACAGCUAGAAUAGGAAAUGAUUUUAGUUUGACGGUACCAUACCAGAAAGGGACGGCUAAAUACGUGCCAGCAGCCGCGGUAAUACGUAUGUCCCGAGCGUUAUCCGGAUUUAUUGGGCGUAAAGCGAGCGCAGACGGUUUAUUAAGUCUGAUGUGAAAGCCCGGAGCUCAACUCCGGAAUGGCAUUGGAAACUGGUUAACUUGAGUGCAGUAGAGGUAAGUGGAACUCCAUGUGUAGCGGUGGAAUGCGUAGAUAUAUGGAAGAACACCAGUGGCGAAGGCGGCUUACUGGACUGCAACUGACGUUGAGGCUCGAAAGUGUGGGUAGCAAACAGGAUUAAUCCCGGGGGAAAACCAAAAUUUUUAAGGGGUUUUUGGGUAUUGGGUUGUUGUUUGGAUU
rnacentral:rRNA from 1 species